rnacentral:rRNA from 1 species
GACGAACGCUGGCGGCGUGCUUAACACAUGCAAGUCGAACGAAGUGGCGAACGGGUGAGUAACGCGUAAUCAACCUGCCCUUCAGAGGGGGACAACAGUUUGAAACGACUGCUCAUACCGCAUACUGAAGGUGGGGCUUGCGUCUGAUUAGCUCGUUGGAGGGUUAACGGCCCACCAAGGCGAGGAACAGUAGCCGGUCUGAGAGGAUGACCGGCUACAUUGGGACUGAGAAACGGCCCAGACUCCUACGGGAGGCAGCAGUGGGGAAUCUUCCGCAAUGGACGAAAGUCUGACGGAGCAACGCCGCGUGAGUGAUGACGGCCUUCGGGUUGUAAAGCUCUGUUAAUCGGGACGCGGUACCGGAAUAGAAAGCCACGGCUAACUACGUGCCAGCCGCCGCGGUAAUUC